AGUGAACGCUGGCGGCGUGCCUAAUACAUGCAAGUCGAACGGAGUGGCGCACGGGUGAGUAAUAUAUAGCUAAUCUGCCCCUUGCUGGAGGACAACAGUUAGAACUGACUGCUAAUACUCCAUAGAAAGGGAUGAGACUAUAUCGUAUCAGCUAGUCGGUGCGGUAACGGCUUACCGAGGCGAUGACGCGUAACUGGUCUGAGAGGAUGAUCAGUAAAAUUGGAACUGAGACACGGGCGAGACUCAUACGGGAGUGAGCAGAAGGGAAUAUAGCCCAAUGGGCGUGACCCUGACGCAGCAACGCCGCGUGGAGGAUGACAAGUUUCGGAGCGGAAACUCCUUUUGUUAGGGAAGCGUUACCUAACGAAGAAGCACCGGCUAACUCCGUGCCAGCCGCCGCGGUAAUUC
rnacentral:rRNA from 1 species